AGAGAUGCACUGGGUUUAAAGCGUGCGCAGGCGGUUUUGUAAGACAGAGGUGAAAUCCCCGGGCUCAACCUGGGAACUGCCUUUGUGACUGCAAGGCUGGAGUGCGGCAGAGGGGGAUGGAAUUCCGCGUGUAGCAGUGAAAUGCGUAGAUAUGCGGAGGAACACCGAUGACGAAGGCAAUCCCCUGGGCCUGCACUGACGCUCAUGCACGAAAGCGUGGGGAGCAAACA
rnacentral:rRNA from 1 species